rnacentral:rRNA from 1 species
GAUGAACGCUAGCUACAAGCUUAACACAUGCAAGUCGAGGGGUAACGAGAGGAAAGCUUGCUUUCCUUGUCGACGACCGGCGCACGGGUGAGUAACGCGUAUCCAACCUGCCCCCAACUAAGGAAUAACCUUGCGAAAGUAAGACUAAUACCUUAUAAUUUCCUCAGAUGACAUCUGACGAGGAAUAAAGAUUUAUCGGUUGUGGAUGGGGAUGCGUCUGAUUGGCUUGUUGGCGGGGUAACGGCCCACCAAGGCAACGAUCAGUAGGGGUUCUGAGAGGAAGGUCCCCCACAUUGGAACUGAGACACGGUCCAAACUCCUACGGGAGGCAGCAGUGAGGAAUAUUGGUCAAUGGGCGGAAGCCUGAACCAGCCAAGUAGCGUGCAGGAUGACGGCCCUAUGGGUUGUAAACUGCUUUUAUACAGGAAUAAAGUUAGCCACGUGUGGUUAUUUGUAGGUACUGUAUGAAUAAGGACCGGCUAAUUCCGUGCCAGCCGCCGCAGUAA